UACGUAGGGUGCGAGCGUUGUCCGGAAUUACUGGGCGUAAAGAGCUCGUAGGUGGUUUGUCGCGUUGUUCGUGAAAACUCACAGCUUAACUGUGGGCGUGCGGGCGAUACGGGCAGACUGGAGUACUGCAGGGGAGACUGGAAUUCCUGGUGUAGCGGUGGAAUGCGCAGAUAUCGGGAGGAACACCAAUUGCGAAGGCAGCUUGCUGGGACGAUACUGACGCUGAGGCGCGAAAGCGUGGGGAGCAAACAGGG
rnacentral:rRNA from 1 species